UGCGCAGGCGGCUUGGCAAGAAAGAUGUGAAAUCCCAGAGCUCAACUUGGGAACUGCGUUUGGAACUGUCAGACUAGAGUGCGUCAGAGGGGGGUGGAAUUCCGCGUGUAGCAGUGAAAUGCGUAGAGAUGCGGAGGAACACCGAUGGCGAAGGCAGCCCCCUGGGAUGACACUGACGCUCAUGCACGAAAGCGUGGGGAGCAAACAGGAUUAGAUACCCCAGUA
rnacentral:rRNA from 1 species